GCAAUACUUUCACUGCCCCACUCUAACAGUGAAGUUGAAUGUCUGUUUAGUCUAAUGAAUGUUGUCAAGUCAAAGCUUCAACACCAUCUGGCUAUAAGCACACUAAACGCUAUACUGACUGUGAGAACUGGGAUAAAACUCUUCGGCGAAUAAUGCUCCACUUACAACCUACCUGACACUGUUACAAAACGAACAGGAACAACGGCAGUCUACUCUUUCAAAGUAACAGCCAUCCAGCAGCAGUCAGCAGCCUGAACCAUGCACCGGUAAUCCAGAACCAUUUACAUCUAUAGAAGGGGAAUGGGACAGGGAUGAGGACAUUAUGCAGAUUUAGACAUGGAUCAAUUGUAGGUGUCACAGUUCGAGAGAGACCUUACCGGAUCCCAGAAAGUCAACAAGGUGGCAUUAGCAAAGAGAUAUGGGCGAUGCUCAAACUUGGGGUGACUGAAACUUCCAGGACCGAGUGGUGCAGUCCGAUUGUGAUAGUCUCCAAAAAGGAAGGCACCAACCACUUCUGCAUUAAUUUCCACAAGGUAAACGCUAUUGCCAAGUUCGAUGCCUGCCCCAUGCCUCUGGUCGACGCACUUCUCGACAGACCUGAUGAAGGGAUACUGGCAGUUAUCAUUAACCCACAGCUCUAGUGAGAAAACUGCAUUUUCUACUCCUAAUGGUCUGUUCCAUUUUAUAACCAUGCUGUUUGGGCUUCGUGGUGCGCCUGCUGCCUUUCAGAGACUGAUGAACCAGGUCUUACAUCCACAUCACAGCUAACACGUACCGGGAGCUGUCGCUUAAGGCCG